AAAAAAAAAAAAGGCACCAAAAAAACCCCCCAAAAUGGACAAAGUGUAAGAAAAAUUGGACAAACCAAACCAAAAAAAUGUUCACUGGGAGCUACUAGAGUGUACUGGGGGGUACUGGGAGCACUGGGCUGGCGUACUGGGGGAUACUGGGAGCCACUGGAGCAUACUGGGGGGUACUGGGAGCACUGGGCUUGCGUACUAGGAGCUACUGGAGCGUACUGGGGGAUACUGGGAGCACUGGGCUGGCGUACUGGGAGCCACUGGAGUGUACUGGGGGGUACUGGGAGCACUGGACUGGCGUACUGGGGAGCUACUGGGGGAUAUUGGGGGUACUGGGAGCACUGGACUGACAUACUGGGGAGCCACUGGAUUGUACUAGGGGAUACUGGGAGCACUGGGCUGGUGUACUGUGAGCCACUGGAGCGUACUGGGGGGUACUGGGAGCAAUGGACUGGCAUACUGGGAGCCACUGGAGCGUACUGGGAGCACUGGGCCAGCGUACUGGGAGCCACUGGAGUGUACUGGGGGUUACUGGGAGCACUUGGCUGGCGUACUGGGAGCCACUGGAGUGUACUGGGGGAUACUGGGAGCACUGGGCUGGCGUACUGGGGAGCACUGAGCGCCACUGGAGCGUACUGGGAGCACUGGGAGUUACUGGGAGCGCUGCCCCCUCCACCCCCGAGGGGGCGUGGCCCCAACUCUUCCCAUCACCCCCCGCGGCCCAGCCCGGAAGCCCUAUUCCCCGCUCCCUUCCCGGGGGAGAGGCGGGACCUUCUCCCGGCUCUACCCAAUGGCAGCGGUCGCUUCUUCCUUUGCCCGGCGCGGAUUGGCGGAGAGCGCGGAGCGGCGGCCAAUGGGG
rnacentral:lncRNA from 1 species